GGCUCCGGAUGCGCAGGCUCAGUGCCCAUGGCUCACGGGCCCAGCCGCUCCGCGGCAUGUGGGAUCUUCCCGGACCGGGGCACGAACCCGCAUCCCCUGCAUUGGCAGGCGGACUCUCAACCACUGCGCCACCAGGGAAGCCCGGUUAAAAACAUUUUAACGUGCUUUAAAAAAUCAUAAACUACCAUAUGUAACAUAAGGUUGUAUUGACUAACAUGCAUUUUCUCACAGGGCAGGGCCUGGGUGUUCAAAUCCAUCACUGUUCUCUGGAGUGAGACACACAGAUGUAAUAAGCGCUCGCUAAACUCAUGUUGAAUACACAAAUUAGUGCAUGGAUGUUUUAAAGUUACGAAUUAUGUACCUACAGCUGCUGCCUGGGAUUGACUUGUGUCCUCCAGAGAUGUGGUGACAUCACAAGUCCCAGGACCUCAGAAUGAGCCCUUAUUUGGAACUAGGGUUGUUGCAGGUAUAAUUAGUGAAAUAACGAGGUCGUGUUGGAUUGGGGAUCCCUAAUCCAGUGACUGGUGUCCCAUAGGGACAGACACACAGAGGGAGAGGCAGAGACACAUGUGCUGCGUCCACAAGCCAAGGAUAGCCGGUGUCCAGCAGAGCCCAGGCUCAAGUUCCCAAUACCUGGGGAGGCCCCCACUGCGUGGAGGCUGGCACUGCUCAUCACAGCGCCAGCCGCCUGCAGGGGAUAGAAGUCCAAACACUUCGUUCCUGGCAUCCUGACAUCCAGGUCGCCAAGGAGAGCGCGAGGCAGCCGAGCACCGACAGGACAAGCUUUACUCAGGAGAGAAGAGACCAGGUCGGCUUCCGCCGUGGGCCUCGUCCCCACGCUGGGUCCUCCCCACCCUGCUGGCCUGCACGCACCCAUCUUGUGCUGCAGGAAGGACCUGACCCCUCCUAAGGAGUCUGACAUGCUGAGCGCUGGGGGUGCGUCCAUCUCAUAACCGGAGGGAGGUCCCCACACAGGCUCUAGGGGCCCCCAUCUAUUGAGAAGAAACGGUGCCGUUUGUAAGUGGCCCUUUGUGGGCGGAGAGACGGCCUUUCCCCGCAGCUGAAGCUGGGAGGGCUGGUCCUGGUCCUCCCCUCCCCUCCAGUCCCGACAGACGUGGCCUGGCAGCACCUGACUUCCAGCUGAAAGGAGACACCUCUGUGGUUUCAAGGCCCCCAGUUUGUUGCACACGUUACAGUCGAGAAAACUAAUACAACUGCCAAAGAGCCCAAUAAUUUUUCUCAGCAGCAAGAGAAGCAGCUGCAGUUCGUACCGUCCCUUCUACUCAGCCACACCCGAGCUCGCCCGGCAAAGACGUGUGAGGGGCUGGAGGGAGGCCCCGCUGCGACAGGCGUCUGUCUGUGCUCCCACCUUGCCUGCCUCGCUGGACACCACUGCUGCCCCCAGGCACCGAGCCAGCACCCACUGUGUCCAGAACUCAUAGGGUCAUCAAGGCAGAGUGUCUGAGGUUUUGAUACCUGUCCCCAGAGUCUGUGACAUUCCUCCUUUCCAAAGGUGGGGCCUCACCCACCCCACCCCCGCCUCGAGGGUAGGCUGUUCUUAAUGACUCACUUCUGCUUCCGUGACUAGUUCACCCCCAUGUGAGCCAGCCGACUUGGAAGAGGGUACUCCAAGCCCACGCAGCCUCCAGACAACCUCCACUGAUGUCCUGACUGCAGCCUCCUGAGAGGCUCUGUGCCGGAACCACCCAGCUCCUGGAGUCCUGACUCAACAGAAACGAUGUUUGUUGUUUUCGGCCACUGCUUGGACUCACUUGUUCCACAGCACUAGGUAACGAAUACAGCUCUGACUGGCUUCCCAGGAGUCCCCCGUUUGUUUGCUGCUCUUUGUUAAGGAGAAGCGUGAUUGCUUUUCUGCAAAGGAUUCCCCAUCAUCUCCCAACCUCAGAGGCUCCAUAUGGUGACUGUCCCUCAGUGCCUUACCAGGGCCGCCUAAGAGAUUUCUGAUGUCUCCACCUUACUGGAGGCUGUGUGUCCUGGGUUCUGACUUUCCCACCUCUCCCUGGACAGGGGAAGGUGGGGAGAUGGUCCCCAUGUUGGGGCCAGAUCUGUCUGUGAACCGUCAGCUGCCCAACGGGGUCCACAGAGUGAUGGGACACACCCUGGGAUUCUAGGACCACCCCCCAUCCAAGCAAGACCCACAGCCGUGGUGAGAAGGGCAGGCCCCAGACCUCAGACCCUGAUCUUCCUCUGCAGCGGCAAGCUGAGAGCCCGGCCCACAGGAGGGCGCAGCCCUGGGGGAGCUGGGGCGGCCCCACCUGCAGCGGAGGUCCCAGCCUCCCCCCUCCCACCCCCACUGUCUCCUGGGGCUCUGGAGGGGAAAGUGGGCUUGCGUGCUGUUUAUAUGCUCUUUUCUUAAAAUCGCCAUCGUCAUGAGAA